GGCUUAGAGUUUGAUCAUGGCUCAGAGUGAACGCUGGCGGCGUGCCUAAUACAUGCAAGUCGAACGAUGAAGCUUCUAGCUUGCUAGAAGUGGAUUAGUGGCGCACGGGUGAGUAAGGUAUAGUUAAUCUGCCCUACACAAGAGGACAACAGUUGGAAACGACUGCUAAUACUCUAUACUCCUGCUUAACACAAGUUGAGUAGGGAAAGUUUUUCGGUGUAGGAUGAGACUAUAUAGUAUCAGCUAGUUGGUAAGGUAAUGGCUUACCAAGGCUAUGACGCUUAACUGGUCUGAGAGGAUGAUCAGUCACACUGGAACUGAGACACGGUCCAGACUCCUACGGGAGGCAGCAGUAGGGAAUAUUGCGCAAUGGGGGAAACCCUGACGCAGCAACGCCGCGUGGAGGAUGACGCUUCUCGGAGCGUAAACUCCUUUUCUUAGGGAAGAAUUCUGACGGUACCUAAGGAAUAAGCACCGGCUAACUCCGUGCCAGCAGCCGCGGUAAUACGGAGGGUGCAAGCGUUACUCGGAAUCACUGGGCGUAAAGGGCGCGUAGGCGGAUUAUCAAGUCUCUUGUGAAAUCUAAUGGCUUAACCAUUAAACUGCUUGGGAAACUGAUAGUCUAGAGUGAGGGAGAGGCAGAUGGAAUUAAGCCG
rnacentral:rRNA from 1 species